rnacentral:lncRNA from 1 species
AGCACAUCGGGUCCCAUGGCUGUUGAACCAGUCAUCUGUAUAGCGGGGGUAGGGGUAGGGAUCAUUACUGCUGAAAUCGUAGCUAGCUUGGGCAUUCUGCAAAACACGAAGUUCAGUGAAUGUGCAGGAAAGCAGACAUGGUAGGUAAAGCAGGACACAUAUAUCCACAGAAAAUCUCAUUAGGUAUCGGGUUCUUUUUUCUCCCCUGGAAAAGAAAAUGUCAUUCCUUCUCUGUGACAUUCCGCGAGAGCCCCG